rnacentral:lncRNA from 1 species
AUGGGUGAAGGGUCUCGGACAAGGUUAAGAUUUGUUGAAAUAUUGGACAUGAGCCCACAAUGUUGGACAACAGUCAUUGGUCUGCAGCUAGGGGACAAACAGCCUUUGCCAGGUAUAACAGUAUUGGGGAGUAGGCACAGGGCCUGGAAAUGGGCAAGAUUGGGUAGAGGAGCCCUCCUUGAACAUGCACAUGGAUACUUUCGGGAGGGAAAAUGGGACAAUAGGAAAACCUGUCGGAUCUGCUGUCUACACACCAUUCACAAUGACAUCUGCUCUGUAUUCCACACAAGGGUGGACCAUGCCAGUAGGGACACUUCUCAGCCACAGGACGUUGUUACCUCCAAGGACCGGCUGGACCCUAUACAUGGGACAAUAAGGGGCUUCGCACUUCAACGGAGGUCCCAUCUUGCACAGUAUAGAUCUCACUUUCGUCAACCAAGAGAGUCCACCUCAGAAGGGUCCACCCUCCAUCUGGCCAGAGCUCUUAGAGCCUUUGAGAGCGAUCAUUAUGGGCUCGAGGAAGACAUCAUCUGGAAGCAGAUUGUCAUCAGUGCCCCCUGCACAGAGGAGCAAGAAGAUAACCUCGGGCGCUACCAAAUGGGCGAGGAGUUCCCAUUCUCCUCUGGCUUUGAAAUGCACAACCAUACCGUGAGGCCCACACAACUCAUUCUCAACAGGCUCCUCACGAGGUGAGAACCAUGCCACUUCCACAUCCAUGACUCACUCCACAUUUCUUGUUCACUGGGUCUGUCAACUCCCUUCGCACAUCUCUCCUCCUCCGUCAGGUGGUAGGAGUGAGGGGACACACACCACAGUUUCGAAUGCAGAACCUAAGCACAUUAGCUAUGGAUAGCUGAAAUCAGCUCUGAUGGGCUGACCAAGGCCCAGGGGCUUAUCAGAUUGUUUUCUUUCCUCUGCUGGGGAGCGUCUGUCACAGCCUUCAACACCCUCUCGGAAGGGACA